rnacentral:tRNA from 1 species
GCCUAUAGCUCAGCUGGUUAGAGCAAUCGGCUGUUAACCGAUCGGUCGUAGGUUCGAAUCCUACCUGCG